AUGUCUGAGGAAACCCAAACCCAAGACCAACCGAUGCAGGAGGAAGAGGUUAAGACAUUUGCCUUUCAGGCAAAUUGCCCAGUUGAUGUCAUUGAUCAUCAAUACUUUCUCCUUAAACGAAGAGAUCUUUCUGAGGGAGCUCAUUUCAGACUCAUCAGAUGUGAGCCUAUGGGUCAUGGAACAAAGGCUAUCCUCCAUCUGAAAGAAGACCGAACAAGUACUUGGAGGAAAGAAGAAUAAAGGAAAUAGUGAAGAAACAUUUUCAGUUUAUUGGCUAUCCCAUUACUCUUUGUGGAGAAGGAGCAUGAUAAAGAGAAGUCAGUGAUGAUGAAGCUGAAGAAAAGGAAGACAAGGAGGAAGAGAAAUAAAAAGAAAAAAAGGAGUCCAAUGACAAAUCUGAAAUAGAAGAUGUUGGUUCUGAUGAAGAAAAGAAGAAGAGAAAGAUAGAGAAGGAGGAGGAGGAGGAGGAGGAGAAUAAUUAAGGAAAAGUACAUUGAUCAAGAAGAGCUCAACAAAACAAAGCCUAUUUGGACCAGAAACCCUGAUGAUAUCACUACUAAUGAAGAGUAUGGAGAAUUCUACAAGCGCUUGACCAAUGACUGGGAAGAUACUUGGUGGUGAAGCGCUUUUCAGUUGAAGGACAGCUGAAAUUCAGAGCUCUUCUUUUUGUCCCAAGACAUGAUCCUUUCGACCUAUUUGAAAACAGAAAUAAAAAGAACAACAUUAAGUUGUAUGUGCGCAGAGUUUUCCUCAUGGAUAACUGUGAGGAGCUAAUCCCUGACUAUUUGAAUUUCGUGAGAGGAGUGGUGGACUCCGAGGAUCUCCCUGUAAACAUUUGCGUGAGAUGUUGCAGCAAAACAAAAUUUUGAAAGUUAUCAGAAAGAAUUUGGUCAAAAAGUGCUUAGAGCUCUUCACUGAACUGGCAGAAGAUAAAGAGAACUACAAAAAGUUUUAUGAGCGGCUCUCUAAAAAUAUAAAGCUUGGAAUACAUGAAAAUUCAAAAUGGAAAGAAGCUUUCAGGGCUACUAUGAUACUACACAUCUGCUUCUGGUCAUGAGAUGCUUUCUUGA